GGGCCGAUGGUGACAACGGCAUCAUGUCUGCCUUGCAAGCAGAAGUUCCGGGUUCGAAUCCCGGUUGGUCCA
rnacentral:tRNA from 1 species